rnacentral:misc_RNA from 1 species
AAGGAUAGAAGAAUGUCUUCAGACCUGCAGUUUGAGAAGGAUGCUUAUGAGAGAAAUCAGAAAACAAACAGUUGGCAAAUGUAACGUCCUUUGGUAGAAGAGAAGGUCUGGUGAUCCAAAAUAUUCAGAAACACAAAAACAGGAAAGACUAAAAAGAGAAGCACAUAAAGAUCCAAAGGGUUUUGCAUUAAGACUAUGCCCGCAACAGAAAGGGAGCAGAAAACUGCCAAUAGUAAUAGGAGGUUCAGUAUAAACACAAUAAAAAAUUUAAACCUAAAUAAGCCUGACUUCACAAAAAACUUAGCAGGAGAGUUCAAAAAAGAUCUAGUAACAAGUACGCAAUGCAUGUGUGUGUAGAGACUAGAGAGAGGGGGAGGAUUGUGAAAAGUGAAAACCCAAAUCAAACGAAAUUACACACAGACAUCAAAUCAGAUUGGUUGAUCCAUUAAAAUCCCAUUCAGGUCACUUCUUGAAAAUUCAGAUUGUCAUGUAGUGUUGUGGUCUACAGAAUUCAAAGACACAAACCAAGACAUAAAUUUCUUGAGUGUGCACGGCACAAGACCACACGUGCUAAUGAUAGUCAUACAAAAGCAGAAGCAGAUUCUGUUAUCAACCCCAAUUAGGACAUAGAAUUUGUUGGUUAUUUUCUUCACCUUUUAAUUAGCUUUUUCAUGUGUAGGCAAGGAUGAAACUAAGCAAGGGCACGGUCCAGUUACAGGCUGAAACAUACAGUUUUGGUCCCAAGGGUUGGGGCCCGGGACCAGACAAGUCAAAUUUUUUUUUUAAAGUGAAAAGUCUGAUCUGAUUUCGACCCAUAAGCGGACCAUACUGGUCAAAAUUGGUCUGGUUUGAUUUCGGUCUGGUUCAAGAGAGUUCUGGUCAUAUCCAGGUUUGACCAGGUCCAUGUCUAGAUGAAACCUCUUCACAUGACACUGCUGUAAUUAACAGACUGGGAGAACAAUAUCUAAGCAAUAUCUCAUAUUAUGCAUAAUGAAAGAAUAACACUAUAAGCAAGUUAAUUUUGUUAGCAACGAAUUAGCAGGCUUCACUAAUAUAGACAUGCAAAAGCUAAGGACAAAGAGGAAGAACCCCCUGUUAAAGCUAAAAAUUGACUAUAAACAUGUCAACAUCAAUACUUGAAAAGCAAGGCAAGGACAAUUACAGUUGUUACUACUACAGUAAAACUUUCCAAAAGAUAAUGAAAACAAAUGAUCAUCUGAUAAGACUUACACAGAGAGGGUUCUGAACAACA